rnacentral:sRNA from 1 species
AUCUUCAUCUAUGUAUUUAUGACCGAAGAUUUUCCCAGCUCUCAGAACUUCCCCGUUCUGACACCCUGAAGGACAGUCCAGAGACGGUCACUCAGAUGCUUAUGGCUUACCUGUCACGCCUUUCAGCUAUCGCUGGCAACAAGAUCAACUGUGGGCCCGCCCUUACCUGGAUGGAGAUUGAUAAUAAGGGAAAUCACCUUUUGGUUCAUGAGGAGUCAUCCAUCAACACUCCUGCUGUCGGUGCUGCCCAUGUUAUCAAGAGGUACACUGCUCGGGCCCCUGACGAACUGACCUUAGAGGUGGGAGACAUUGUUUCUGUUAUUGACAUGCCCCCGAAAGUGUUAAGCACAUGGUGGAGAGGCAAGCAUGGAUUCCAGGUGGGACUCUUCCCUGGACACUGUGUUGAGUUAAUUAACCAAAAAGUUCCCCAGUCAGUGACCAACUCAGUGCCAAAACCAGUGUCUAAAAAGCACGGCAAGCUCAUUACGUUCUUACGAACAUUCAUGAAGUCUCGUCCAACAAAACAGAAGCUGAAGCAGCGGGGAAUCUUGAAAGAGAGGGUGUUUGGUUGUGACCUGGGGGAGCACCUUCUAAAUUCUGGUUUUGAAGUGCCGCAGGUUCUUCAAAGCUGCACAGCAUUCAUUGAGAGAUAUGGCAUCGUGGAUGGAAUCUAUCGCCUUUCUGGUGUUGCCUCCAAUAUCCAGAGACUACGCCAUGAAUUUGACUCUGAGCAUGUCCCCGACCUGACGAAAGAACCGUAUGUUCAGGACAUCCAUUCUGUGGGCUCCCUGUGUAAGCUGUACUUCCGGGAACUCCCAAACCCUCUGCUUACCUACCAGCUCUAUGAGAAAUUUUCUGAUGCAGUUUCAGCAGCAACAGAUGAAGAAAGGCUGAUAAAAAUCCACGAUGUCAUCCAGCAGCUCCCCCCACCACACUACAGGUCAGCCACAGUGGGUAAAUACCAGGCAGAGGUAGAAGUCGGUUGACCUAUAAACGUUUUUUUUUCCUUUGGUUUUCUAUUUAAACUUCCUUGGAGUUCUAAUUAAACUUCCAUUUCAUA